GUUUGCGAUCAUACCAGCACUAAUGCACCGGAUCCCAUCAGAACUCCGCAGUUAACCGUGCUUGGGCGAGAGUAGUACUAGGAUGGGUGACCCCCUGGGAAGUCCUCGUGUUGCAACCC
rnacentral:rRNA from 1 species